GAUGAACGCUGGCGGCGUGCCUAAUACAUGCAAGUCGAACGAAACUUCUUUAUCACCGAGUGCUUGCACUCACCGAUAAAGAGUUGAGUGGCGAACGGGUGAGUAACACGUGGGCAACCUGCCCAAAAGAGGGGGAUAACACUUGGAAACAGGUGCUAAUACCGCAUAACCAUAGUUACCGCAUGGUAACUAUGUAAAAGGUGGCUAUACUACCGCUUGUGGAUGGGCCCGCGGCGCAUUAGCUAGUUGGGAGGGUAAAGGCUUACCAAGGCAAUGAUGCGUAGCCGAAUUGAGAGGUUGAUCGGCCACAUUGGGACUGAGACACGGCCCAAACUCCUACGGGAGGCAGCAGUAGGGAAUCUUCCACAAUGGGCGAAAGCCUGAUGGAGCAACGCCGCGUGGGUGAAGAAGGUCUUCGGAUCGUAAAACCCUGUUGUUAGAGAAGAAAGUGCGUGAGAGUAACUGUUCACGUUUCGACGGUAUCUAACCAGAAAGCCACGGCUAACUACGUG
rnacentral:rRNA from 1 species